UUCCCGCCCGAGUCGGGGCCCCCGCGGCGGGAGAAGGCGGGGCCGCGCAUCAACCAACCCAGUCUCCGAGGCUCGCGGCCCGCCCGGAGGAUGUGGCCGCGUCCCGCGCGCACGUGUAGCCCAGGCCGGCGCCUGCUAGGACCGGCGCGAUUGCCUGUCGCAGGAGUGGGGCAGCUUGCAGCGCCCGGUGUCCGGGCUGCCUGACCCGGCGGAGGGUUCUUCCCUAAAGCGCAGAGCAGCAGCCCAGUUCAGCCUGGGCGGGAAGAGGCGGGCUGGGCUGGGCAGGGCGGGGCGGACGGGGUUCCCAUGGGCGGGGCGGGGAGGGGCCAGGGCGGGGCGACCGGGGGCGGGGCGGGCCCUGUGCUUGUGGCACCGUGUCAGUUACAUUGAAACAAAAGUGGUAAGGCGGCUGACAGGGCUAGCAUCCCUAGCCCGCUGGUCGUCGGCUGUCGCCGACAUGGAACCCGUGGCUAGCAACAUCCAGGUCCUGCUGCAGGCAGCGGAGUUCCUGGAGAGGCGCGAGAGAGAGGCAGAGCACGGUUAUGCGUCCCUGUGUCCACACCACAGCCCCGGGACCGUCUGCAGGAGGAGGAAGCCACCCCUGCAAGCUCCUGGCGCGCUGAACAGUGGGCGGUCUGUGCACAACGAGCUGGAGAAGCGCAGGAGAGCCCAGCUGAAGCGGUGCUUAGAGCAACUGAGGCAGCAGAUGCCCCUGGGAGUUGACUGUACCCGAUACACUACACUAAGCCUCCUGCGCCGGGCCAGGGUGCAUAUCCAGGGCAGGAGGUGGUGGCCUCUGAAGGUCAUGAAGCCACCCUGGAUGGGGUUCGUUCCAUGGCUGCCUCUCUGUAGACCCUGGGCAGCUGACCCUAUUCCCUGCCCCCGUGGGUUCUACAGAAGCUGGAGGAGCAGGAGCAGCAAGCCCGGCGGCUCAAGGAAAAGCUUCGCAGCAAACAGCAGAGCCUGCAGCAGCAGCUGGAGCAGCUCCAGGGGCUGCCAGGAGCUAGGGAGCGAGAGCGGCUGAGGGCAGACAGCUUGGACUCUUCAGGCCUGUCCUCUGAGCGCUCAGACUCAGACCAAGAGGAUCUGGAGGUGGAUGUGGAGAGCCUGGUGUUUGGGACUGAAACAGAGCUCCUACAGAGCUUCAGCGCUGGGCGGGAGCACAGCUACUCACACAGCACCUGCGCCUGGCUAUGAUGCCCACUGCGGCCUGUACUCUCCUUGGACUGAGCCUGCCAGUCAGUGGCCCCCACACAAGUUGGCUUAGAGCCACAUGUUGAAGAGACUAAAGCCAAGGUGUGGGAGCAGACUCCAGACUCUGCUGCACAGCUUGAGCUUGGGCCACCCUCCCCAUCCCCCAGGGAAUUUCAUGUAGCACUUGGCCCUGCUUUGCUGCUCCCCACAGGGACAGGAAGCCUCAAAACUUCUUGUUCCUGGGCAAAGCCCCAGGCCUCUGCCCGUAUAUACUGCACAGUAUUUUCAUUAAAAUCCUCUUUUGUAA